CACGUAGGCGGACUGGUCAGUUGGGGGUGAAAUCCCAGGGCUCAACCCUGGAACUGCCUCCAAUACUGCCAGUCUUGAGUCCGAGAGAGGUGAGUGGAAUUCCUAGUGUAGAGGUGAAAUUCGUAGAUAUUAGGAAGAACACCAGUGGCGAAGGCGGCUCACUGGCUCGGUACUGACGCUGAGGUGCGAAAGCGUGGGGAGCAAAACA
rnacentral:rRNA from 1 species